CCUACGGGUGGCAGCAGUGAGGAAUAUUGGGCAAUGGACGAGAGUCUGAACGAGCCAAGUAGCGUGAAGGAUGACUGCCCUAUGGGUUGUAAACUUCUUUUAUAUGGGAAUAAAAUGUUCCACGUGUGGGGUUUUGUCUGUACCAUAUGCAUAAGGAUCGGCGAACUCAGUGCCAGCAGCCGCGGUAAUACGGAGGAUCCGAUCGUUAUCCGGAUUUGGUGGGUUUAAAGGGAGCGUAGGUGGAUUGUGAAGUCAGUUGUGAAAGUUUGCGGCUCAACCGUAAAAUUGCAGUUGAAACUGGCAGACUUGAGUACAGUAGAGGUGGGCGGAAUUCGUGGUGUAGCGGUGAAAUGCUUAGAUAUCACGAAGAACUCCGAUGGCGAAGGCAGCUCACUGGACUGCAACUGACACUGAGGCUCGAAAGUGUGGGUAUCAAACAGGAUUAGAUACCCUUGUAGUC
rnacentral:rRNA from 1 species